ACACAAGGGAGAAACAUAGUUUAUUGUUUGGAGUGGGGAUCCGAGUGAAGGUGUUUGUGCACGUUUAUUGGGAGUUUAUUAAAAGUUGUAUAGCUGGAGUGGGUUUGUGUUUGAGCCCUUGAGGAUGUUUAAUAAGUUUUCGAUAGGCCCUUGGCUUCCGGAAAUUAAAAGAUUCUUAGCACAGAAAGUGCGCAGUGUUACAUUAUGCAAAUCACUAGUGGUUUGAUUAUCAUCCUUGUCUCAGU